GCUUGGGUGGCUCAGUCAGUUGAGCAUCUGACUUCGGCUCAGAUCACGAUCUCAUGGUUGAUGGGUUCCAGCCCCAUGUCGGGCU
rnacentral:tRNA from 1 species